rnacentral:piRNA from 1 species
UAACCAAAUGCUGGUAAAAGGUGAG